rnacentral:rRNA from 1 species
GAUGAACGCUGGCGGCGUGCCUAAUACAUGCAAGUCGAGCGAACGGACGAGAAGCUUGCUUCUCUGAUGUUAGCGGCGGACGGGUGAGUAACACGUGGAUAACCUACCUAUAAGGCUGGGAUAACUUCGGGAAACCGGAGCUAAUACCGGAUGAUAUUUUGAACCGCAUGGUUCAAAAGUGAAAGACGGUCUUGCUGUCACUUAUAGAUGGAUCCGCGCUGCAUUAGCUAGUUGGUAAGGUAACGGCUUACCAAGGCAACGAUGCAUAGCCGACCUGAGAGGGUGAUCGGCCACACUGGAACCGAGACACGGUCCAGACUCCUACGGGAGGCAGCAGUAGGGAAUCUUCCGCAAUGGGCGAAAGCCUGACGGAGCAACGCCGCGUGAGUGAUGAAGGUCUUCGGAUCGUAAAACUCUGUUAUUAGGGAAGAACAUAUGUGUAAGUAACUGUGCACAUCUUGACGGUACCUAAUCAGAAAGCCACGGCUAACUACGUG